rnacentral:rRNA from 1 species
GACGAACGCUGGCGGCGUGCUUAACACAUGCAAGUCGAACGGAAAGGCCCUGCUUUUGUGGGGUGCUCGAGUGGCGAACGGGUGAGUAACACGUGAGUAACCUGCCCUUGACUUUGGGAUAACUUCAGGAAACUGGGGCUAAUACCGGAUAGGAGCUCCUGCUGCAUGGUGGGGGUUGGAAAGUUUCGGCGGUUGGGGAUGGACUCGCGGCUUAUCAGCUUGUUGGUGGGGUAGUGGCUUACCAAGGCUUUGACGGGUAGCCGGCCUGAGAGGGUGACCGGCCACGUGGGAACUGAGGCACGGGUCAGAGUCCUACGGGAGGGGGCGGUAGGGAAUCUUCCGCAAUGGGCGAGGGCUUGACGGAGGGACGCGGCGUGAGUGAUGCAGGCCUUGGGAUCGUAAGACUCUGUUAUGAGGGAAGAACAAAUGUGUAAGUAAAUCAGGACGUAUUGGCGGUACCUAAUCAGAAAGCCACGGCUAACUUCGUG